UGAGGAAUAUUGGACAAUGGGCGCAAGCCUGAUCCAGCCAUGCCGCGUGCAGGAUGACGGUCCUAUGGAUUGUAAACUGCUUUUAUACGAGAAGAAACACUACUUCGUGAAGUAGCUUGACGGUAUCGUAAGAAUAAGGAUCGGCUAACUCCGUGCCAGCAGCCGCGGUAAUACGGAGGGUCCAAGCGUUAUCCGGAAUCAUUGGGUUUAAAGGGUCCGUAGGCGGUUUAGUAAGUCAGUGGUGAAAGCCCAUCGCUCAACGGUGGAACGGCCAUUGAUACUGCUAGACUUGAAUUAUUAGGAAGUAACUAGAAUAUGUAGUGUAGCGGUGAAAUGCUUAGAGAUUACAUGGAAUACCAAUUGCGAAGGCAGGUUACUACUAAUGGAUUGACGCUGAUGGACGAAAGCGUGGGUAGCGAACA
rnacentral:rRNA from 1 species